CUUUCUCUCCCUCGCGUUGAGACCGACCAGCGCACAGGUGCGGUCCGCUCUCCUGCCCGGCGGCGCGGCUUCAAGCCCGUGACUGCGCGUGUGCAUUGACUAUGUUGGAUGAAGACAUCACUGGCCAGCACUUAUUGUCCAUCCCGGAGUGCAGCUAAAAAUCAACUGCAUUGCUGUAGGUCUGGAGUCACUUGUAGACAAGAGCAGGUACUCUAUUAAAACUGGACAACUCUGUGUGGAGAGUCGUUGCAAAUAGAACUGCAUCAUCUUUGCUUUGUGACCCAGAUUGCCAAGACUUGAGGGUUCAUUACUCGGCCCAUGAACAGCAGUGAUUGAGUAUGAUGCUCGAGGAUGAAGAACAGGAAUGGGCGAUUGGCCAUAAAUUUGGCUUGUGAAGAUAAAGGCAUGAAGCCAGAAAGAGAGACAGCAGCAACUUCACUUCCUUCCUCAUCCACCUUCAGUGUAACAUGUUGCUUCAGCUGUGGGAAAUAAAAAAGUAA